UACGUAGGGUGCAAGCGUUAAUCGGAAUUACUGGGCGUAAAGCGUGCGCAGGCGGUUAUGCAAGACAGAUGUGAAAUCCCCGGGCUCAACCUGGGAACUGCAUUUGUGACUGCAUGGCUAGAGUACGGUAGAGGGGGAUGGAAUUCCGCGUGUAGCAGUGAAAUGCGUAGAUAUGCGGAGGAACACCGAUGGCGAAGGCAAUCCCCUGGACCUGUACUGACGCUCAUGCACGAAAGCGUGGGGAGCAACGAGG
rnacentral:rRNA from 1 species